ACCAGGCUGGUGCUGGUCUUGUGCAGCAAGUCAGCGCGGGCGUUGCGGACCUUACGAUGCGCACGAGCGACCUUGGCCUUGGCUUUGCGCCGAUUCGCGGACCCGUCCCGGCAGCGGGCCAGCCGCCGCUGGUAACGCGCGAGACUGCGAGCCUUACGUUCCAGGUGCCGCGGGUUGCUGAUCCGCUGGCCAUCGGAUGUCACCGCGAAGUCCUUAAUGCCGAGGUCGACGCCAACGUCAUGCCCGGUCGACUCGAUCGAGGCAGGCUCGUCGGCGUCAACGGCGAACGCCACAUACCAACGGCCAUCCGACUCGCGGGAGAUCGCGACCAUGCUCGGAUCCAGGCGAACCAGGUCGAUACCAGGCCACGACCAAGUCACCGCCAAAGGCCCGUCAAUCUUCGCGACAUGCAGCUGGCCAUUCUUCAUCCGGAACCCAGAGCGGGUGUAGUGCGCCGGCUGCCGGCCGUUACGGCUCUUGAACCGUGGAUACCGCGCUCGGCCGUCGAAGAAGCUUUUGAAAGCGGUGUGCUGAUGGCGCAACCUCUGCCGCAACGGGACGCAGGACACUUCGGACAGAAACGCCAACUCCUGCGU
rnacentral:antisense_RNA from 1 species